GGUGAACGCUGGCGAUAGGCCUAACACAUGCAAGUCGAACGGCAGCACAGUAAGAGCUUGCUCUUACGGGUGGCGGGUGGCGGACGGGUGAGGAAUACAUCGGAAUCUACUUUUUCGUGGGGGAUAACGUAGGGAAACUUACGCUAAUACCGCAUACGACCUACGGGUGAAAGCAGGGGAUCUUCGGACCUUGCGCGAUUGAAUGAGCCGAUGUCGGAUUAGCUAGUUGGCGGGGUAAAGGCCCACCAAGGCGACGACCCGUAGCUGGUCUGAGAGGAUGAUCAGCCACACUGGAACUGAGACACGGUCCAGACUCCUACGGGAGGCAGCAGUGGGGAAUAUUGGACAAUGGGCGCAAGCCUGAUCCAGCCAUACCGCGUGGGUGAAGAAGGCCUUCGGGUUGUAAAGCCCUUUUGUUGGGAAAGAAAAGCAGCAGGUUAAUACCCCGCUGUUCUGACGGUACCCAAAGAAUAAGCACCGGCUAACUUCGUG
rnacentral:rRNA from 1 species